CUUCCACUUCCCCCUAACUUGGCUGCUGCCACACGGGUGGCACCAAAACCCAUAAACCACUGGCCCCCCUCCUGUGCCAGUCUGACAUUCCUGUGCAGAUUGUGUUUUUGCUAAUAGUUAAUUCCAACCUGCACCGUGUGAUUUACUGCUGUCUUGCUUCUGACAUAGCUGUGUGUGUUUUGGCUCCAUCUAUGCAUGCCUAAUGUGGACAGCUUUGUCAUCAUGCAGCUCAGUGACUGGUGUGUGCCAUUAAUAUUGGGAGCGUGGGACGAUUCAACUGCAACCGGAUUCCCUUUUCCCCAGGAUUGUUUACACAAAUCCAGAAGAUCUGUAUGGCAGCAUCUUACUGAUAUAAUUGCAGUGAUAUUCAAAGUAGUACAGUGGCACAUAAAGAAGAUAUGGAGAUCUUAUAUGCCAUUAAGUCAGGCUGAAAUUAUGUAUUAACCAUUGUUUGCAAAGGAUCUUAAUUACAGUUCUAUUAGCAAGUUACUCAUUAUGUAUUUCUCUGAAGCAUUUACCAAAAAAGAAAAAAAGUUCUAGUUAUUUCUAUUUUAUUGAAUAACACUAAAAUUGAAUUAUGGUAUAUUACCAGUGUGAUAAUGCCACAGGCAAAAACAUAUGCAUAUGUAAAGGAACUUGGCAUUCUAACAUAUGUAAUUGACUUGUAAAAGAUUUGCAUUACCAAUAGUAAUUAUCAUGGCCAGUACUCUAGUGAUGGCCUACCACAGCUAUUUUGGGUUAUUCUGUCAUCUGUAUGAUUAAAUUAAGUGAUACAUUCUAGUUUAUACUAGAAUAACAGCCCAUUCAUUAUUUGUGUAAGUUCAUCUUCUUAGUGUCAAAGGGCCAGGGGAAACCCAAAGAGUCUUUUGACCCAAUGUAGAUAUUUUCCUGCGUUAACCUAUUAUUAUUAUCAUUACUACUACUACUACUACUACUACUCCUCUAUCAGAGUGCCACUGAUAGAGAAUAGGCAAGGUGCAUUGCACCAAACUGUCUACAGUUCAAAUUGACCAAAACUACAUGAUCCAAACUACAUCCUGCAAUGGAGUACAAAAUUAAGCCAACCAAGCCUAUCAAAAUGAUUAAUUUCUGAUCCUCAAAUACAGGGUUGGGUCCAAGAGGCCUACUUAUGCAAGAGGAAAGUACUUAAACUUUGUAAGGUGUGGAGGGUGUCCCCCUGAUUUCUGUGGAUUUCUUCUCAGCUGCAAAUCACAUGUUGUUCUGGCUGGAGGGUUUUCCACUUGUCAAAAAUGGCUUUUUGAAGGUGAAUAAAAUUGCAGCAAGAGGCAAUAAAGCCUCAUUCUGCCAGUAGAUGUAUGAUUACAAUUGUUUGGAUCCAACCUGAAUAAAUGAGUCCUUUCCAGCCAGUAGCAGCACUAUCCUUUAAGUGCUGACUCAGAAGGAAGUCCCACAGAGUUCAAUGAAACUUAGUAAGUAACUGGGUAUAGGACAGAAACCUAAAAUCUCAUCAAGAGCAAGUGCCAUUGGGAAAUUGCCCUAUUUGCCAUUUUCAUUGUUGUAGAAAGAAGGAAGAACUCUAAAAUCCGGGCUGUAUAUUAUUAUUUUUACCAGCUCUACCGGUUUAGAAUUCUGAAGGCUCCAUGUCAACAGCUAAAAAACAAAACUAAAGUCAACUGAAGUCACACACCUGGGGAAGGAGGAACUUGUUGGUUGGCUUUUUCCUUCUAUUAUUUUUAUCUGAUUAUAUUUCUAUCAUGACUAAUUUGUCCCCUCCCCUUCUUCUUGUCAAGAGAGAUUCAGAGAUUUUGUGAGGAUGAAAUGGGAUUAGACCAUAUAUGCUACGAUGAAAUCCUUUGAGGAAGGGCAAGUGGAAAAUAAGAUAAAUAAGUAAAGUAACUCUUCCUUGUGUGUCUGGCCUCAGUCCAUUCCAGGUUUGUGGUGGGAUGGGAGCUUGCGUGUUAGCAGGGAGUCUUCCAAAUUCUGAACAGGCAGAGUUGAAUUACUUAUAAGAAAUGAGUAAUAAGCUCAUCCCAGCUGUGAGAUCUUAGAUCCGGGAAUAAAAUUCCUGGAUUCAUAUGAACCACAACUAUCUUUCCAUAUAAAAGUAAUAAGAUAAACCUUAACAAAUUAUACUGUGUUCCAAUGUCAAAAUUGCUAGAUAUAUUUGGAUAAUACAGGUUGGAACAGUAAUAGGAUAUAAGUGGAAAAGUAACAGAAUCAGAUAUUGUAGUGCAGGGCUGUGAUACUGGUAGCCUGUUGACUGGAUGCGACCCAUGGAUACUCCCCAUCCUGUGUGCAAUAUCUUCUCACCCUAACCCCCCACUUGGUACCAGGAAAACUUUACUGAGUGUAUGAGAGAUAAUCAAAGGUUAGAAGAAUGACAUAGACAUACAGUGGUACCUUGGGUUACAUAUGCUUCAGGUUACAGACUCCACUAACCCAGAAACAGUGCUUCAGGUUAAGAACUUUGCUUCAGGAUAAGAACAGAAAUUGAGCUCUGGCGGCGCGGCGGCAGCAGGAGGCCCCAUUAGCUAAAGUGGUGCUUCAGGUUUCAGGUUAAGAACGGACUUCUGGAACGAAUUAAGUACUUAACCUGAGGUACCACUGUAUAGAGAGCCAAGGAAGAGGCUAGUGUAAGGUAGGAGUGUGUGACAGAGCAAUAUGGUACCCUUGCAAACAGUCUUGGAGGAGACUGGCACCUUGGUGGUACAGGGUUUCCCUCUGGGCAUGUGACAUGGGACAGCGUUUCUGGUGCCUUGUAGGAGUGUCUGCUAUUUGUCUCUACAUAUGUUUUACUUUGUUUUUCUCAAAAGAUAUUGUAAGUUUAGUGUUUUCUCAUCCAAAUAAAGCCAUACCCGUGUAGAGCUGCUACCUGCUGUCAGGGACUUGAGGAAAUGGCCAGCAGGCAACAAUAGAACAAGGGCAUUUACAACUCUUGAGAGCCAACCUAAGUUCACCAUUUGUUUAUGGAGGCUACACACCCAUAAACUUAUAUUUUAAACUAUUUAAUCAGUUCUGAAUUGUUAUUAAGGGCUUAUCCACACUUAAUUUCCUCCAUGCAUGGUCCAUGCUUUAAAGCUCCUUCUUUUGCUCCUGAGCUUUCCCUGUGAAAACCCACUCUUUACCACUGAAUUUGAGCAGAACACCCAAAUUGCUGUUCGUUGCACUUGAUAUUUAAAGAGCAAGUUUUCCAGCGUGUGCCUGGAAAGUACACAGCAAAAGGUAAGUGUGGAUAAGCCCUAAACUUAAACUUUAACCCUCCUUUUCAGUUUCAAAGCCAUCCAAAAGUAAAGCUCUUUGCUGAAAAGAAAAAUCAGUUUAUCCAAUACAGUAAUUUUAUUCUUCUUUCUAAUUAUUCCUGCAUUGCAGGGGGUUGGACUAGAUGACCCUAAAGGUUCCUUCCAACUCUACCAUUCUAUGAUUCUGUGAUCUGUUCCCCAUUGGAUACAAUGUUCCUCACUAAACUUGGAACCAGUAUUCCAUAGAAGGGCCUCGUCAAAGGUAAUUAUUAAGUUCCUUUUUAUUACAGGAAAUGCCAUUUCCAGUUCACAUCCAUGAACUGUUGGUUAGUCAUUCCAGGAUCAAUUUGCAAAGCUCUUUUCUCAUCUAUCCCAGCUAAUAAUAUCCUGAUUCAAAGCAAUUUUCUUUAUUAUUAGGCUUCAAGCUUAUUAGCUUAAAUAAUGACAUUAUGAAACAUUAGGAACAAUUAAAUGUUCAUUAUAUCUAGCCCUCUUAAAGUGCCACUUAUUUCUACAAAGAUCCUUCCAGUCUUUCAGUGCGUUAAACAAUGCGUUAACACAAAAAUAGUAAGCGUGUUUUGGAUUUGUACACUUUCUUUCUCUAGAAAAAAUGGGAUGAAUUGAAAACUUGGCUACUUUGCUUCUACUUCAUAGGUUAAAUUCACACUCCAUAUGUUUAUUAAUUAAUUAAUUAAUUAAUGGAAAUUUCACUGGAUUUGUACAAGGAAUAAAUUUGUAUUAGUAUGGCGGUUUUUCCCCUGGAGAAUUUGGAUCAGAGACGGCCCCAUUCCUUCUGGUAUCAGACAGAAGAUGCCAUUCUAUGAGUAAUUGAAAAAAGCUUCAUAUGAUGGUCAUUCCUGCUAUGCUGACUAAGGGAAACAAUACAUGGGCAGAAAUGCAAUGAUCCACUUCUCCAAAUUUUGUGAUGCAGUUCUCCAACCAAAUAUGUACAAAAAUGCAUAUAUUAAAGGAAAGUGUGCAUUACAAGGCAUAUGUUUGUGACAAUAACAUACAAGACUGUAUUGUUGCUUGCAAAAUAUGUAUAUUAGGCAAAAGUGCAUUAAACAUGGCUGUAUUUGAAGAAGGGCACAGUAAAAGGCUGAGGAAUUUUCAUGCCACUUUAAAAAUGUUGCAAACUGUUGCUAAAAUGUGGAGAACUUGAGAUUUGCAGGGAAAUUGAAAGAAAUCAAAAUGAACAGAUUUCCCCAUUCCUACACGCUGUUGAUAAAAAAUGGUGGUUAGCAAAAUUCGCAGCUUGGUUUAAAGCUCUAGUCAUAUAUAUUUAAGAGAAACUGAAAAUAAGUUGUGUAAAGUUUUUAAGGGAACUUUAAAUCUGCUAUUUGUUUAUGUUGUUGUUGUUUAGUCGUUUAGUCGUGUCCGACUCUUUGUGACCCCAUGGACCAGAGAAUGCCAGGCACUCCUGUCUUCCACUGCCUCACAAUAAAUACAACAGUGUCAGCAAAAUAGGUCAGAGUCACUCCACUCUUUUAAAAAAGCAGGGAGGUUUGUGCCUUUGAUAAUCAUGUCCACGAGGGAUAGCUCAUUCAGUGGAGAAGGUAUACUUUGUACGUAAGUCCUUUUAAUUAUAUGACAAAAUAGUAAUCCACCAUGAAGAGCCACUGAGUUGGUCAGGAUUAUAGAUGCUUUUUCGGAGCAUUGCAAUGGUCUUAAAACACAAGGGGCACAAAUAAUUUCCUCCUUUGCCAAAUGGCAUCCCUGUCAGACAACUGCACCCAAUAAAUAAAUGUGCAGGGCAUAAUUCUGUGGGUGAAGAAUUCAGGGGGCGGGGGGAGGAAUGCAAGUACUGUAUAAUAGAGGAGAAGAAAUAUUUCAGGUCUAAGAAAAACCAUAGUAGGAUUAUGGUGGUUUUGAGGUGUCAGAAAAAGAAUAAUUAUGAAUGAAGUGUGGGAGGGGUGGAUUACACUAAUUCUAAGGAGUGAAACAAGGGAUCUGUGGGUGAAGAGGCAGAUGCUUACGGGAAGGCAUCUGUUUCAUUAUCAUUUUAAUUUUCUUGAUCCAACAUAAUUUUUAUGCCUGCACAAUGCUUCAGUUCUCACUACUCUACCCUGGCAUUAGCUUAGAAAAACACAGUGCACCUGUAUGGCUAUUGUUCUGAAUGUAGCAAUGUAAAUGACAUGAGGGUGGAAUUGAAAGUUUUGCCUGUAAGGACGACAGCAUGUAUGAGUCUUUUAAAGGGGUGUCUUUGUGGUUUGUUUUAUGAUUGGAAUAAAAUGUAUGUACUUAUUUUGUUAUAUUUUUGUAACCCACCCACUACAAAUAAUAAAGACAUGUGAUUUCU